rnacentral:misc_RNA from 1 species
AAAGUCGUAACAAGGUUUCCGUAGGUGAACCUGCGGAAGGAUCAUUAAAAAAGGAUGUGCUCUGCGCAUAACUCCUCUCAUACCUCUGGCUCGUAAAAAAGGCCUGGGUUGAAUGAGUCCCUUAACCCUUUGUGAACUUUAUACCUUAUGCUUUGGCAGCACGCUCUUUCCCUCCACGGGUGGAGUGGGUAAGGCUGCCGAUAGCCCAUUUAAAAUCAUUUUAUUUUUAAACAUGAAGUCGGAUUACUGUUAAAUUUAAACAAGUUAAAAACUUUCAGCAACGGAUCUCUUGGUUCUC